UACGUAGGGUGCGAGCGUUGUCCGGAAUUAUUGGGCGUAAAGAGCUCGUAGGCGGUCUGUCGCGUCGGUCGUGAAAACCUGCAGCUUAACUGCGGGCUUGCAGCCGAUACGGGCGGGCUGGAGUUCGGUAGGGGAGACUGGAAUUCCUGGUGUAGCGGUGAAAUGCGCAGAUAUCAGGAGGAACACCAGUGGCGAAGGCGGCUCACUGGCCCGGAACUGACGCUGAGACGCGAAAGCGUGGGGAGCAAACAGG
rnacentral:rRNA from 1 species